ensembl:lncRNA
GGGUGAAGGCCGCCGCGGGGACGGCCCGGUUCGGCUGGAGGAGACGCAGCGCCGCACCCGGCCGCCCGAAGGCGGGAGGGAGGGAGAGAGGGAGGGCUAGAGGAAUAGAGGGCGGGCUGGGCUGCUCUGCCCUCCCCUCUCCGCCUUCUCCCUCCUUCCCCCCGAGCGUGGUGUUGUUCCGGCUGGACUCCCGCGUAUACCGUUUCACAUUUCUCCUGCAAGGGUCUUACUGAAGAUCCACAUUUGCAGCUUCGCCAGUCAGGAAAGACCCGGUGUGGCUCAUUCAAGCAUUUUAAGAAAUUGUUAUCUGUCAGUAUCAGGCUGUCUUGAUUGCCCUUAAUGUAAGUUAACUCUAAAUGGCAUUUGAGCAUACCAAAAUGUUUAAAUGAGCCCCGUCUUGGACAAGAUAAGUAAUCAUCCAUACUGCAGUUUACAUUUGAACACAUGCAGCCUAAUCACACUGAAAGAACCUUUAUUUUCCUUCAUCUUCCAAGCUCGUCCUAUUCAGCAGAAGCCUAGGUUUGCCCGUAUUGUUAAACUUAUGCUAUGUUUAUUUUGUGCUUUUCGCUGUUAUUUCAGGAUUUAAUCCAACGCCAGUUACUAGGAUUAGUCUUGGUAGCCCUUUUUAGUCAUGCUUUGUUUCCGUAAGAGCUGACCUUAAGGCAAGUCACCUGCUCAGCAUCAAGUACUCAUGAGUAUUUAAAUAAAUCUUAUUUAAAUCAGCAGGAAGGCAUGCUUUUCUUAGUGCAGUGCCAUUAUUAGUGAAAUCAUCCAUCUGCUUCAUGACUGCAUUUUUGAGGCAUGACUUACCACCAGAGGAGACCUCUUAUGUACAAGUACCUUGAUUUACAGGUCAGACACAGCACCUUUGGUAUUAAUACAUUUAUUAGAAUGUGAUCUUCAUCACCAGAUUCUGUCUCUUUCUGGAACUUAAUGGAGCUUAUUUAAAUGUGGUUUGGGUUGAUACAAGAUAGAAUACUUGGUGGCCUCUACAUUAUUAAGAGACACUGCAGAAACAACAAAAAAAAAAAUUAAAAAAAGCAGGCCAAUGCAUUCAGGGAGGUACAGCUUCAUACAGACACAGGACUUACUAACAGCAUAAAUAUUAUAUCUAUAAAGUAAUGUGUUUCCUGGAUUGUUUUGUUUUUAUAACAAUGCAUAAAGUGCACAUCAAAACCAGCUCUUUCAUAGGAAAGAUUGAGGUGUGGAGGGACUGGGGGGACUUAGGCCUAAUAUCUGUAGCAAAAUCAUAGUGGCUGUAGUAGGGGUAAAAUUAAAUCCAUAAGCAGACAAUGAGAUAUGUUCAUUUGAAGAUUAAGUUAACUUUUUAUUUUGGGUUAGAAGCAAGUGUUACCUCAUGAUGAGUGACUUGGAAUUCUUAAAUCUUUGCAUAUCAUUACACCAUUUGAUUGCCCUUUAAGAAGGAGACAAAAAGUUUCGAUUGAGGUAAGUAGGUCAUUAGCUGAACCAUCUAAUUUAUUUUAUAUUCUUCAGACAUUUAGUCUGAGUUGGUAGUCUGAAAAAUGAAAACAGAUUUGUGAAGUGUAUUAAUAGCAAAGAAUGAAAUGUGUUGCUAGGAGUGGACUAGAGAAGCGAAAAUCUACAUUUAAUUAUCAAAUCAAUGUCAAUUAAAAUUGAACCAAAUUAUUCAAAAUUAAUUAUAUGGGUCAUAAAAUGAGUGCAGCCAAUCAGCAAAUUAUCAUGUCAAUGUAGCAAGAUAAGUAAAUUCUUUAAAUAAAAAUCAGAAAUAACAAUUGAAUUUUAAGUCCCAGUUAUGAGUGUUUCCCAAAGUAGUGAAAUUAAGACAAUUGACUGAAUCAGUGUGCAAAACAAGUAUUGCAAAGUGACCUGCUACCCUGUUUUAACCCUCCCCUUUCCCCACAGCCCAAAUCAGACAGCUGGAUUCAGCUGGCAGAGUCAAACUCAUCAAGCAGGUGAGACAGAUUAUUUCCAGGUGACAAAGUUGCUGUAACCCUGCAGGUACAGUGCUCAUGGUUGCAUCCGUGACUUAGGCUCCAGUGGGGGUAAGCUGCAGGUACCCAUGCACCUGCCACUUCUGUGCCUUGACUCAAGAGAAGCUGAAAGUGACAUUGCAUAGAUAGAGAGCACCAGAGCUGCUAGGCUUACAUAAAGAAGGCAGAUUUUCAGGUGGGUUUUUUUUUUUGGGUUCAUUGUUCCUCCAAAAAUAUUACUGAGUGGAGGCUGCUGUGCUACUCUGAACUAGUACUUCUCUCAACCAGUGUUUAAGAUUACACUCUGAAAUAUUGAAAAAACACCUAAGCACAGCAUGCUAAGCAGAAGACACAAUUCCUGAAGUACCUGAUACCAGUAGUGCUGCUGUAGCAAAGGUUGGGAGAACUGUUAUCUUCUGCUUGAUUAUCCCCAGCUUAGAAAACUGGCCAGUUUUAGGGUAAGCAGAAACACCUGAGGGAGCCUGAGG